CUUGCUCCGAUCGGAUUAGUGGCGGACGGGUGAGUGACGCGUGGGUAACCUGCCUGCGAGAGGGGGAUAACAACGGGAAACUGUUGCUAAUACCGCAUAACGCAUCGAUUCCGCAUGGAGAUGAUGCCAAGGGAAACCGCUUGCAGAUGGACUCGCGUCUGAUUAGGUAGUUGGUGAGGUAACGGCUCACCAAGCCGACGAUCAGUAGCCGGACUGAGAGGUUGAACGGCCACAUUGGAACUGAGAUACGGUCCAGACUCC
rnacentral:rRNA from 1 species